ACGCGGCUCAAGUCUUGACAACGUUCCUUCCGGUCAGCCUGUCCCCUUGCCACAGUCCAUGAAGUGACACCAUUCUUAUGGCUUCUCAAAAGCACCGUUAUUUCAGUUAAUUCCAGGUAAAAUGUACAUGGUUCCUUGGCAACAUUCUUCCUCCUCAUUUUUUUUUUAAGAACUUGCGAGUUUGAAUCUGAACAUUUGCCUACUAUUUACAUUAAAUAAUUGCCUUGCCUUUAGCAAGCUGGACUACACUUAACAUAUGCCCUUUGGUGGAGUGGAGACGACUUGUCUGUCCUGUCCAAGCUUAAAUACCAAGGGAAUGACUUUAAAUCUUGCUGGAUGGAACUGCCACUCACCGCUAGAAAUCGGGGAUCAACAGCGAACUCUGGAUGACCCUGUAACCACAUCUCCAGUUCAGCCCGGCGAGGGGCAUCCUCACCCACCAGCAAA